AUGGGGGGAACCCUGAUCCAGCCAUGCCGCGUGUGUGAAGAAGGCCUUAUGGUUGUAAAGCACUUUAAGCGAGGAGGAGGCUACUUUAGUUAAUACCUAGAGAUAGUGGACGUUACUCGCAGAAUAAGCACCGGCUAACUCUGUGCCAGCAGCCGCGGUAAUACAGAGGGUGCGAGCGUUAAUCGGAUUUACUGGGCGUAAAGCGUGCGUAGGCGGCUUAUUAAGUCGGAUGUGAAAUCCUGUAAUCCA
rnacentral:rRNA from 1 species